GCCUGGGUGGUUGAGUCGGUUAAGCGUCUGACUUUGGCUCAGGUCAUGAUCUCACGGUUCUCGAGUUCGAGCCCCGCCUCGGGCU
rfam:Felis catus isolate Cinnamon breed Abyssinian chromosome X, whole genome shotgun sequence.